rnacentral:rRNA from 1 species
UAAUACGGAGGGUGCAAGCGUUAAUCGGAAUUACUGGGCGUAAAGCGCACGCAGGCGGUUUGUUAAGUCAGAUGUGAAAUCCCAGAGCUUAACUUGGGAACUGCAUUUGAAACUGGCAAGCUAGAGUCUUGUAGAGGGGGGUAGAAUUCCAGGUGUAGCGGUGAAAUGCGUAGAGAUCUGGAGGAAUACCGGUGGCGAAGGCGGCCCCCUGGACAAAGACUGACGCUCAGGUGCGAAAGCGUGGGGAGCAAACAGGAUUAGAUACCCUGGUAGUCCACGCUGUAAACGAUGUCGACUUGGAGGUUGUGCCCUUGAGGCGUGGCUUCCGGAGCUAACGCGUUAAGUCGACCGCCUGGGGAGUACGGCCGCAAGGUUAAA